rnacentral:rRNA from 1 species
UAACGCGUGAGGAAUCUGCCUCAAAGAGGGGGACAACAGUUGGAAACGACUGCUAAUACCGCAUAAGCCCACGGCUCGGCAUCGAGCAGAGGGAAAAGGAGUGAUCCGCUUUGAGAUGGCCUCGCGUCCGAUUAGCUAGUUGGUGAGGUAAUGGCCCACCAAGGCGACGAUCGGUAGCCGGACUGAGAGGUUGAACGGCCACAUUGGGACUGAGACACGGCCCAG